rnacentral:rRNA from 1 species
UACGGAGGGUGCAAGCGUUAUCCGGAUUCACUGGGUUUAAAGGGUGCGUAGGCGGGCAGGUAAGUCAGUGGUGAAAUCUUCGAGCUUAACUCGGAAACUGCCUUUGAUACUAUCUGUCUUGAAUAUGGUGGAGGUAAGCGGAAUAUGUCAUGUAGCGGUGAAAUGCUUAGAGAUGACAUAGAACACCUAUUGCUAAGGCAGCUUACUACGCCUAUAUUGACGCUGAGGCACGAAAGCGUGGGGAUCAAACAGG